rnacentral:misc_RNA from 1 species
AAGAGGUUAAGGGAAUCGCAGAUGCUGACAGUCUCGUGGUACCUGCAAGCGCUGUCAGUAAUCGAGGAUUCGAGAGAGGAGAAGGAAGCAUUGAUGAUAGCACUGAGGAUUCUGGCGAAGAUUAUUCCGAGGGAAAUGCUUCAUCUAACUGGGGAUAUUCUUUCGGUCUUAAACCAGACAGAGCAGCUGAUGUGAGCAUGCUGAUGGAAGAGGAAUUGAGUGCUCUGCUCAGGACAAGCAGAAAUGUAGGGAUUCAGAAAAGGGAUGGGAAGACUCUGCAGUUCCCACACAAUCCAGAAGGGAAGACAGGGGAUCCGGAGUGUGGAACCAUUAAAAAGGGCACAGGAGAGAGGUUAGCCUCACAUGGAAUGGGGAUAGUUGCUGGAUC